rnacentral:rRNA from 1 species
CGAGCGCAACCCCUAUCUUUAGUUGCCAUCAUUGAGUUGGGCGACUCUAAAGAGACUGCCGGUGUCAAACCGGAGGAAGGUGGGGAUGACGUCAAGUCCUCAUGGCCUUUAUGUCCAGGGCUACACACGUGCUACAAUGGGCGGUACAAAGGGCAGCGAACCCGCGAGGGGAGCCAACCCCAAAAAGCCGUCCUCAGUUCGGAUCGGAGUCUGCAACUCGACUCCGUGAAGGUGGAAUCGCUAGUAAUCGCGGAUCAGCAUGCCGCGGUCGAAUACGUUCCCGGGCCUU